rnacentral:rRNA from 1 species
UGGGCACUCUAAGGAGACUGCCGGUGACAAACCGGAGGAAGGUGGGGAUGACGUCAAGUCAUCAUGGCCCUUACGGCCUGGGCUACACACGUGCUACAAUGGUCGGUACAGAGGGUCGCCAAGCCGCGAGGUGGAGCUAAUCUCACAAAACCGAUCGUAGUCCGGAUCGCAGUCUGCAACUCGACUGCGUGAAGUCGGAAUCGCUAGUAAUCGCGAAUCAGAAUGUCGCGGUGAAUACGUUCCCGGGCCUUGUACACACCGCCCGUCACACCAUGGGAGUGGGUUGCACCAGAAGUAGCUAGUCUAACCUCGGA